UUCAUGUAAACCCCUAUUUAAAUGCCUGUAUCCUGUCUAUCUCUCAUCCCUCGCCGUCUCUUCCCAAUAUCCUGUUCAGCGUUCAGAACCCUAGUUUAUGUAAACCCUAAGUUUCCUUACCCCAAUCAGCAUCUAUUCGGCCUCUAUAAACCUCGAAUAGAAAAAUAAUCCGUUGUUUCUUCGGUAUCUGUAACUUUUUCGUCGAAUCGAGAUUGUAAUUCGAGUCUGAAAACUUUAGUUAUUUGUAUAAAUGUAGUGCAUCUGUUUUACCCUCUCCUUGUGUAGAUUUGAGUGCUCGAGGAGAUAUAACUGAUGCAGAGAGAUAAUAGGAGGUUUACCAGCCCAUUGCAGACUCUCAAGUGUUGUUGCCUUGGUGUCAAAUAGACCUUCCGAAACUACCAUAUCUUAUUUCUAUUCCUUAAAUUUGCUUAUUUUGCUGUAUAAUUUUUAUGAUCUUUGAGCCGAAUCAUAUAUUGGAAAUGGCAGAUGAGGAGUUUGUUUAAACCGCUUAUUGAUAUACUGAUAAUUGGUGCUGACAAUAACUCAUGUUCUGAUGCCAUUUUCCAUUUCGUAUGUGUAUUCUUAUGCUUAUUAAAUUGUUUAAAAUUUACGGAAUAUUUUAUUUAGCGUUUUCAAAGUUUUAUUGUUAAUGGUCGAUUUUAUUGGCUAGAAUCCAUUGGAGGGCAAAUGAUGAAUAAAAUUCUUAUCCUACACACUGAACUAAAUGUAGACUACAACUCCGCUUAUUAUCUGAUGCCUUCAUUGUCUUGAUCAGCGUUAUGUUCUUUUCUUUUUCUUUACUUUUAACGUUGUCAUUUAGCUGUUAUAUUUUUUUUUUUGUUACUUUUGCAUGACUAGCUUGUAAUUUUUUAUUUGUUGUUGUUGGUGAGACGGUUUGCUGUGGUUUAGACUACUUGGUAUGUACUAAUGAUGAGAAAAAGCGGACGGGCGGUCUGAAUCUGAUGCCGUGUUGAUUGUCUGCAACUUUCCACUUUUGUGGAAUAUUAUCUGAGGCGAUGAGCUUGGAAUGAACCAGUGUUGCUGCAGUACCGAUCGCCUUCUCCUUAGCUUUCCAUUACUUAAUGCUUAGUUUGAUGUGUGGAUUGCUUACGAUUGUGCUUUAAUAUUUGGAUUGGGAGAUCCCCUCGGUAAGUUGAGGGAAGUCAUCGUGGGAUUAGGGCAUGUUCUUGACAGAUGGCAUUUUUUGAAAAAUUGCCUCUUGAUUGAAUAAUCCAUUAAGGAAUUGUAUUUUUAAGAAGUGGUUAUUUAUAGCAAUAAUUUCUUUUAGCAUAUUGUGUUUUUGUUUUCCAUAUCUGGUUUGCAACUAAAUUGAUAAAAUGUAUCAAAAUUUAAUGGU